rnacentral:misc_RNA from 1 species
UUAACUAUUAUAUAGUACUCAGACAUCACUAAAAUUCAGAGUUUGGUCCUCUGGCAGGCGCAUGCAGGCACAAAGCCCACAGUGGGUGACCACGGCCUGCCAAAGCAACAAGAGUAGAUAAACACGGGUGGGGUAUACCGAAGUAUCCUUUUGGGUAAUGAUCCUUCCGCAGGUUCACCUACGGAAA